rnacentral:rRNA from 1 species
UACAGAGGUCCCGAGCGUUGUUCGGAUUCACUGGGCGUAAAGGGUGCGUAGGCGGUCGGGUAAGUCUGAUGUGAAAUCUCACAGCUUAACUGUGAAACUGCAUUGGAUACUGCUCUGCUUGAGGGUUGGAGAGGAGAUCGGAAUUCACGGUGUAGCAGUGAAAUGCGUAGAUAUCGUGAGGAAGACCAGUGGCGAAGGCGGAUCUCUGGACAAAUCCUGACGCUGAGGCGCGAAGGCUAGGGGAGCAAACGGG